UACGUAGGGUGCGAGCGUUAAUCGGAAUUACUGGGCGUAAAGUGUGCGCAGGCGGCCGAGCAAGUCGAGUGUGAAAGCCCCGAGCUUAACUUGGGAAUUGCGCUCGAAACUACUUGGCUGGAGUGUGGCAGAGGAAGGUGGAAUUCCACGUGUAGCGGUGAAAUGCGUAGAGAUGUGGAGGAACACCGAUGGCGAAGGCAGCCUUCUGGGCCAACACUGACGCUCAUGCACGAAAGCGUGGGGAGCAAACAGG
rnacentral:rRNA from 1 species